GUAAAGGGAGCGUAGGCGGAUUUUUAAGUGAGAUGUGAAAUACUCGGGCUUAACCUGAGUGCUGCAUUUCAAACUGGAAGUCUAGAGUGCAGGAGAGGAGAAGGGAAUUCCUAGUGUAGCGGUGAAAUGCGUAGAGAUUAGGAAGAACACCAGUGGCGAAGGCGCUUCUCUGGUCUGCAACUGACGCUGAGGCUCGAAAGCAUGGGUAGCGAACAGGAUUAGAUACCCUGGUAGUCCAUGCCGUAAACGAUGAGUGCUAAGUGUUGGGAGGUUUCCGCCUCUCAGUGCUGCAGCUAACGCAUUAAGCACUCCGCCUGGGGAGUACGACCGCAAGGUUGAAACUCAAAGGAAUUGACGGGGGCCCGCACAAGCGGUGGAGCAUGUGGUUUAAUUCGAUGCAACGCGAAGAACCUUACCAGGUCUUGACAUCUAGUGCAAUCUGUAGAGAUACGGAGUUCCCUUCGGGGACGCUAAGACAGGUGGUGCAUGGCUGUCGUCAGCUCGUGUCGUGAGAUGUUGGGUUAAGUCCCGCAACGAGCGCAACCCUUGUUAUUAGUUGCCAGCAUUAAGUUGGGCACUCUAAUGAGACUGCCGGUGACAAACCGGAGGAAGGUGGGGAUGACGUCAAGUCAUCAUGCCCCUUAUGACCUGGGCUACACACGUGCUACAAUGGGCAGUACAACGAGAAGCAAGCCUGCGAAGGCAAGCGAAUCUCUGAAAGCUGUUCUCAGUUCGGACUGCAGUCUGCAACUCGACUGCACGAAGCUGGAAUCGCUAGUAAUCGCGG
rnacentral:rRNA from 1 species